rnacentral:rRNA from 1 species
CCUACGGGAGGCAGCAGUGGGGAAUAUUGCACAAUGGGCGAAACCCUGAUGCAGCGACGCCGCGUGAGGGAUGAAGUAUUUCGGUAUGUAAAGCUCUAUCAGCAGGGAAGAAAAUGACGGUACGUGACUCAGAAGCACCGGCUAACUACGUGCCGGCAGCCGCGGUAAUGCGUAGGGGGCAGGCGUUAUCCGGAGUUACUGGGUGUAAAGGGAGCGUAGACGGUCCUGCAAGCCAGAUGUGAAAGCCCGGGGCUCAACCCCGGGACCGCAGUUGGAACUGUAAGGCUAGAGUGGAGGAGAGGUAGGCGGAAUUCGCAGUGUAGCGGUGAAAUGCGUAGAUAUCAGGCGGAACUCCAGUUGCGAAGGCGGCCUGCUGGAC